rnacentral:rRNA from 1 species
GGAAGGUCCGGGCGUUAUCCGGAUUUAUUGGGUUUAAAGGGAGCGUAGGCCGGAGAUUAAGCGUGUUGUGAAAUGUAGACGCUCAACGUCUGCACUGCAGCGCGAACUGGUUUCCUUGAGUACGCACAAAGUGGGCGGAAUUCGUGGUGUAGCGGUGAAAUGCUUAGAUAUCACGAAGAACUCCGAUUGCGAAGGCAGCUCACUGGAGCGCAACUGACGCUGAAGCUCGAAAGUGCGGGUAUCAAACAGGAUUAGAUACCCUGGUAGUCCGCACAGUAAACGAUGAAUACUCGCGGUUUGCNAUACAAUGUAAGCCGCCAAGCGAAAGCGUUAAGUAUUCCACCUGGGGAGU